GAUCAUCUCGUGUAACUCAAGGUAAGCAGUUCAGGCCUAAAUCAUUACCCAUUGAUCAAUACUUUCCUAUUUCCCUGAAAAAGGUUUAUGAAUUCAUUUAUUCCCUUUGGUGCUUACAUGUGAGUAUUGAUGGUUGGAGAAAUAAGAAUUUGGAAAGGUUAAAGAAACACUGCUUGGGUUUUUGGAGAAUAUGAUUGUCAUCACUUGGUUUGGAAUGGCAGCAUCAAAGAGGAAAUUAUGCAAAAGAGCUUAAAGCUUGGAAUCUUCAUUCUUAAGUUCAUCAUUAACCAUUUCAGAUAAACAGGUUGAUCAAGAUAUCAUGGUCUGCAAGCAUGAAGUUCAGAUACUUGGAUUAUGCUAGUUGAGCUGACGUCAUGUUAUAAGAUUUAGUUUCUUUAUGUUUUCAGUUGUUAGCUCAAUUUAAUAUUAAUCUCUUGGAUUUUGUAAUCCUAUUUAUGUAUUCGGACAAUAUGUAAUGAAAAAUUAAUGUUUCCCGAUUCAGUUAUGUACA